GGUGGUUCUUGGGUGAUGGACCCUGGAAUCCGGCUCCCUCCUCUCUGGUUCCAGGUGCAUCACUUGAAAACCGCA
rfam:Myotis brandtii contig171503, whole genome shotgun sequence.